UACGGAGGGAGCUAGCGUUGUUCGGAAUUACUGGGCGUAAAGCGUGCGCAGGCGGCUUUGCAAGACAGAUGUGAAAUCCCCGGACUCAACCUGGGAACUGCAUUUGUGACUGCAUGGCUAGAGUACGGUAGAGGGGGAUGGAAUUCCGCGUGUAGCAGUGAAAUGCGUAGAUAUGCGGAGGAACACCGAUGGCGAAGGCAAUCCCCUGGACCUGUACUGACGCUCAUGCACGAAAGCGUGGGGAGCAAACAGG
rnacentral:rRNA from 1 species